rnacentral:tRNA from 1 species
GGGUGGGUGUCCGAGUGGCUGAAGGAGCUGGAUUCGAAAUCCAGUAGCCCCCUCGGGGGCUCGAGAGUUCGAAUCUCUCCCCACCCGCCA